GCUUGUACUCUCAGAGACCCGGCUUUGCUAAGAUGACCUUGCAUCCCUAACCAUCCUCAUUUCAUUGGCUGUACUUCUCUCACACCACUCUCCUCCCCACUGUGACUUGCAGACUCUUCUUUUACUGCCAACUCUCAGAAACCCUUGUUCUUUGAAGAGUAUAAUCCUUCUAGAUCCGGAUCCUCACAGGAUUGAAUAUGGCCUGGACCAUGUGGGCAUACAGGUAUAAAGAACAUGUUCUAGCAACAAAGCAUUUGAAUCAUCAUCAUCGCCGUCAUCACCGCCACCUUGGGGGCCAUAACCGCAGGCAUCAUCAUCACCACUGCCGUCACCACCAUCACCACCACCACCAUCAUAAGCAUCACCACCACCACCAUCAUAAGCAUCAUCACCAUCUCCUACCAUACUAAAGUAUUACCAACUCUGGCAGACUCUAUAUGAGACAUACUCUGCUUAUUCAGCUUUUUCUCUUAAUCUUCUGUCUCAUCAUCACUUCUCCUAUGCAUAUUAUUCCUUGACAAAAUAGACAGCUUUUGCAUUUUGUAAAGCCAGGGGAAACUUUGUAUGCUAAUUGUAAAAUAAAAUUACCAUGUUUCUUUUUGUGC